rnacentral:rRNA from 1 species
GAAGAACGCCUGUCGGUUAAUACCCGGUAGGAAAGACAUCACUCGCAGAAGAAGCACCGGCUAACUCCGUGCCAGCAGCCGCGGUAAUACGGAGGGUGCAAGCGUUAAUCGGAAUUACUGGGCGUAAAGCGCGCGUAGGUGGCUUGAUAAGCCGGUUGUGAAAGCCCCGGGCUCAACCUGGGAACGGCAUCCGGAACUGUCAGGCUAGAGUGCAGGAGAGGAAGGUAGAAUUCCCGGUGUAGCGGUGAAAUGCGUAGAGAUCGGGAGGAAUACCAGUGGCGAAGGCGGCCUUCUGGACUGACACUGACACUGAGGUGCGAAAGCGUGGGUAGCAAACAGGAUUAGAUACCCUGGUAGUCCACGCCGUAAACGAUGUCGACCAGCCGUUGGGUGCCUAGAGCACUUUGUGGCGAAGUUAACGCGAUAAGUCGACCGCCUGGGGAGUACGGCCGCAAGGUU